rnacentral:rRNA from 1 species
CCUUGAUAUUAAUAGCACAGUGGAUCCACUCCAAUAACCAUUCCGAACUUGGUAGUUAAAUGCUGUAGCGACGAUGAUACUUAAGAGGACACUCUUUGGGAAAGUAGUUCAAUGUCAGGG